rnacentral:rRNA from 1 species
AUACGGAGGGUGCGAGCGUUAAUCGGAAUUACUGGGCGUAAAGCGUGCGUAGGCGGUUUGCUAAGUCAGAUGUGAAAGCCCCGGGCUUAACCUGGGAACUGCAUUUGAUACUGGCAGACUAGAGUAUGAUAGAGGGGGGUAGAAUUCCUGGUGUAGCGGUGAAAUGCGUAGAUAUCAGGAGGAAUACCAGUGGCGAAGGCGGCCCCCUGGAUCAAUACUGACGCUGAGGUACGAAAGCGUGGGGAGCGAACAGGAUUAGAUACCCUUGUAGUCC